CACUGGAUAACUCAAGUCAGUAGAGUAUGAGACUCUUAAUCUCAGAGUUGUGGGUUUGAGCCCCACAGAGGGUGA